CAAGACAUAGUUUAAAGCAGAACACCUCUUUUACACAGAGGAAGCAUUCGUUCAACUCGAAUUGACUUGA
rnacentral:tRNA from 1 species